UACAAUAAACUACGAUUUUUGAAACAGUAUAGGAACAGGAAAGCAGGCAGCUGAAAAAGAGGUUGAUCUACUGUCUGAUUUAUAGCUACUGCUUCUGUGCAGUUAGAAUUAGAUAUGUAGAGAUACAUAGCGAGAUUUUAACAUCUUUAUGCACAAGCAAGCAGCUUUAUGAAUCCUGGAUCCUACUGCAUUACAAACGCUACCAGCUCUGCUCUCUGCUUGCUCUGGACAAACACGUUUCACUGCUGGGUGGUUCAGAGAGGGGUUACGGCAAAGGUUACUUCUGCCACUGGAAUUCCUGGGAGGAGAGCUAUACCCAGGGUGCCCUACAGCGCCGUAUCCAAUUGCUCAGACAAAGCUGGAGGUAAGAACAACAGCAGGAGGGACACAGACCAGCCUUGCAAUCAGAGUGUUUACAGAGAGACAGAGGACAGAAGAAUUUUGGGUCUGAGCUUUGCCAGACAGAUCCUCACUUUGCAUUUUGAAUCUGACACCCCAGGGGCUUUAUAUUUUCCCUGUGUCCAUCUGCUGACAGGAGGAGUUUCAGCUAGUAUUUGGGCUUGCAUUUUAGGGCAUGUGGAGAAACAAAUUAGCAGUUGCCGCCGGGACAGUAUUUUGCCUUCAACUUCAAUGCCUGAGCUUAUACACUUCAGCAGAAGUUUCAAAUGUUACAGCAGAAUGUGGCGUAACUGCAUCAGUAGUCAAGGGAAGAGCCAACGAUGUCAUCUAUCUGGACUUCAGUAAGACCUUUGACACAGUCCCCCAUAACAUCCUUCUCUCCAAAUUGGAAGGAUAUGGAUUUGACAAGUGGACUGUUCAGUGGAUGAAAAACUGGUUACGAGAUUGUACCCAGAGAGUUGUGUUCAGUGGCUCAAUGUCGGGAUGGAGACCAGUGGCAAGUGGUGUCCCUCAGGAGUCAGUACUGGGACUAGUGCUCUUUAACAUCUUCAUAAUGUCAUCAACAGUGGGAUCAAGUGUACUCUCAGCAAGGCUAUAGAUGAUACCAAGCUGUGUGAUGCAGUUGACACAUUCAAGGAACAGGAUGCCACCUGGAGAGACCUAUGUAGGCCCAAGCAGUGGGCCCAGGUGAACCUCAUGAGGUUCAAUAAAUUCAAAUGCAAGAUCUUGCACCUGCAUUGUGGCAAAUCCUGCUAUGGGAACAAGCUGGGGGAUAUAAGGAUGGUGCACAACCCUGCCAAAAAGGACUUGAGGUGGAUGGCAAGCUGGACAUAAGCCAGCAAUGUACCCUUGCAGCCCAGAAAGCUAACCAUAUCCUGAGCUGCAUGUACAGUCAACAAAUGUACAGUUGGAAGAGUAGCACAGUUAAGAUGGUACUUCACAGGUGUAUAGUUGGAAAGAUUAUCAUGGUGGAAAAGAGACAAUCAAAGAAGAAAUGCUCACCUGUAUCCAAGGAUCUAGGCUCACAGUGGAAAACUCCAAAAAGGAAAGAACUCCAGAAAGAGAUCCUUCCCCAGUGGCAGUCAGCCUUUAAAUGGGGUCUAGGAGAGGUGGAGCCCAGCUCCACCCCUUCCGGUCACACAGGUGAAUUGCCUUCACCUGUGCUCCCACAGCUGACUCAGUUCUUUCCUCAGGUGCUCAAUCAGUGGUUCAGGCCAUGACUCAACAGUUCCCAUACACUCCACCCCUUCAUAGCAUGAACCAAUAAUCGAGCAAGCUAGAGGGUGAGCCUUCCCUAAUAGAGAGAUCCAGAGACACCACGAUGCUUAUACAAUUGCCUGUCGCCAUGCAGGUUGACACAAUUUAAGAUGAUUGAUGAUCGGUGUGUGGUUGAGGUUCAUGUUCUUUCAUGGGCCAGUGCUUGGUGGUGUUACUGGAGGUAUGCAGUCAUGUGGUGUAGGUCCAUCCUAUGUUCCAUCAGUCCCACAUAGGCCAUCACCGGGUGUCGUGCUUGAUCCCACAGCAGCACUGGAACACUUCAAUGGUAUUUCGCUCCUUCUGUGAUCCUAGAGACUCAAAGACUCACAGAGAGUAAUACAGAUGUUUCAGGGGUACCAGGAGGGGAAGGUCUGCCCUCCAGGGCAAGAUACAGGCCAUAUUCCUAUCCUGGGUCAACACUUCAGCUUGUACUGGGGCAUGCCCCAGCCGCCUCUACCAAACUCUUCGGCCAGAUGUCUGCAGCUGCAUAACUGUAUCAAAGGGGGUGUCCUGAUCUGACAUAGGGACAUGAUGGGGGGGUCCCUUUAGCAACGAAGAUUGGAGUGUUGACCACAAUAUCCAUAGGCCAUGUACCCAUUACCGGAGGGACUACCGAGCUUCCCACCUCCAGUAAUCUCCUCCAAGGUAGGAGGAGAUUGUGCAAGAAGGGCACACCACUUCGGUCCUACCUGUACCUACCAAGGCCAUUUUACUCUAUGGGUACCUGGUUCUAAAUUCUCAGGGGUAGGGACCAGAAGGUUAUUUUCAUUGCCAAUCUGGGGUUUUACCCAAUUAUCAGUGCCUGUAAUUUGGAUCCUAAGCGGGGAGGCCCAUGUUGUCUGUAGCAUUUUCAGGGCACUGGGUCUGCCAUCUUUAGGUCUUUCGUUCAGGUCCCACAGGGUUUCAUAGAGUCCCUUUGUCCACCCGUGCAGGGACUGUGAAUCUCUCUUCAGGGCAGCCUUAUGAAUACCGUUACGAUGUUCAAUGAGUCCUGCCCCCGUUGGAUUAUAUGGCAGGUGGAAUCACCAUCCAGUGUUGUUUUCUUCUGCCCAGUGUUGUAUCACGGUACCAGUAAAAUGAGUUCCUUGGUCACUCUCGAUGACUUGAGGUGUCCUGGAGGCAGACAGGAGCUCAGUAAGUGCUUGAUGGUAUAUGCCUGGUUUGCUCUUGGCACUGGAUAGGUCUGCAGUAGCCCACUUGCGGUAUCGAUGCAGGUCAGGGCAUAUCUCACCCCCUCAUACUGAGGGAGGGGCCCAAUAUAAUUGACCUGUCAUCGCUGGAGAGGAUUGUGUCCUCUAGCAAGAUGGGCUGUUGUUGCGGGCAGCAAUCUCAGUCUCAUCUUGGAGCAAGCGUCACAGUCUCAGCAUGCCUGGGUGAUGUCAGAUAGUUGCAUGGGCAGCUCCCAUGCGUUAGCAGCUGCCCAUAUUGUCUUUUGUCCAGCAUGCCAUAGCUUCUGAUGUAAUCAAUGGGUGAUGUUCUCAGAUGGUGAAUCCUCAGUCCAUCAAACUUGGGUUGGUGUGUCCGCUUCGUCAUUUCCUGGUGAUUGUAAAGGUUGAUGACCAGAAACAUGUUAGACACAUACAGUCCUGUGUUUAACUGCAUUCCACAUGUCUAACCACAUAUCUCUGCCCAAGAUUGGUCGAGCAUGGAUAGUCCAUUCUUGGGUGGCCCACUGUGCAAUCCAAAGAGUGAGCCCCCAGUACACAGCCCAACUAUCUGUGCAGAUAUUCAGGACACCAUCACCGGGUUCCUUAGUUAUAACCAUCCACAUGGCUUGCAGUUCUGCCCAUUGGCUGCUCUGACCAUCCGCCUCUUCAAACCAGACUGUCUCAGUGGAGGGAUGGUAUGCUACUGCUCUCCACUAACUCAGGUUGCUCUUGCUGGACCCAUCUGUGUGCCAGGCAUCUUCAGGAAUGGGAUAUUUCCCCUCCUGAAUGGGACUCUUCUAUGGUGGAGCAACCAAUGUGUCUUUUGGUGCCUCACUGUGAUAUAUCACUGGGCCUACAAUCUUCUUGAGUUCUUUCAGUGGUGAUGAAGAUAGACUAUUCCUCUGGCUAAGAUAGGCGACCCAUCACACCACCGUUUAUGCUUGGCCACCCUCGUCUUAGGAAUGUGAGUCAGAUCUUUCAUCCACCCCUGAAUUGGCAGGGUGUUCUUAACUAUGGAUUUGUCAAUAAUCCUCACCCCAAGUUUUGGGGGAUGAUUUUGAAAUUUUUGAUCGUCCUUCAACUGCCUCCAUAGCUGGAGGAGGACAUGAUUGGGCUGGUGAUCAAUUUUCGCAAAUUGAACCCCAGCCCGGAUUAAGCCAUUAAACAUUUGUUAUCAGGAUACCCGUAUGGGUCCUGAUUGAGGAGUUCGUAGGGUGGGUCUCCUGGUUUUAGUUACUAGAAGGACCUCUGCCCCUUCCAAUGUUCAGAUACUGCACCUGGUCCAAAGGCGCUCUGUCUCCCCUAGAUCGGCUACCAGCUGGGCAGCCUGUUGAACCACGGACUCUGAGGCUACUAGGGAGUUUAGUAUGGAAACUAGAGUUCCAUACAGAUGGGAAGGAGCCUGUUGCAGGAUCAGGUCUCUCAUGCCUAUUGAGAAUUUUACCAGGUGUGGGCUUUGAAAUGCGUCUUUGUAUAUCACCUCUCUUAUACUCAGUUCGUGAAUAUAGUUUUGAAGGUCUUCUGUGAAGGACCAUAAACCUGUGUGUAAUAGUAUGUCAGAUUUAUUGGCCAAACCAUAUGGCAUGCUGCCAUCAACCAAUCUAUUAUCGAGUGAUUCUUGUUGGUAUACUGGACAGCAGCAUAUAGCCCCUAAGGGCAGGGUGAACAGUAAUAGAUGCCAAUUUACAGAUUUCUGACCCACUGACCGUAACACUUUCCAUCCAUGAAUCCCAUCAUCGGAGAAGCCAGGCUGGUACGCUUUCUCUGGGCUUCUGUCUGAAUCACUGUACCAAGUCCAUUAAUUCCAUGGCCAUAUAAGGACAGGCUAUUACAUGUAAAUGUAUUUGGGCAGGGGGCCACUGAUCAGGGGGCACCCCUGGUGAUCUAUCUUGUAUUUUGUUGUUGUUGUUGUUUUUUGAGUUACUAUAGGACAGAUCUCAAAGGAAUCCAUCGCAGAUAGAGCUUUGAGAUCUGAUUUGGAAGCUUUGUCUUCUGGAUCCACUAGGUUGAUCAAUUCAGGAACCUGCGUAUCAUCUACUGAAAUGUUAUGGACCUGUUUUAUUGGGAAAUUUAGACUUGAUUUUUUCCCCUGUCAGUAUACCAAGUUGUUGUUCAAGUUUCUCAAUCCGAUCUCAUAACAGUAGAUUUUCACUUUCUAAAGUAUUGGUUGUCAUUUCAGCCUGAUUUAAAGCAAUUAAUAGUGGCCAUGCCACAGUAGAAGCAGCUAGCUGAUGUUCUUUUGUAACUAAUAUCCCUUCGCUCAAUCCAUGAGAAUGAUCUGCCAUGUGGGUUGGGGAAGGAGUAUUUCCUGUAACCUGCAGGGAACUCCAUUCUUCAAUUAUAGUCACCAGUUCAUAGUAAGGUGAUCCCAGAAAUCCUUGGAUCUGUCUGGGAAUUGUUUUGUCUAGGAGGAAGUAAUGUUCUUCCCCGCUGAACAAUUUAAAGAUAUUCUAAAGGAAAUACUUUUUUGUUUUUUUGGCCUUCCUGGCUCACCAACUGUGUAUUUGGAAGAGUAGUACAGUGAGGAUGGUACUUUACAGGUGUUACAGUUGGAAGAAGUAUCAUGGUGGAAAAGAGACAAUCAAAGAAGAAACGCUCACCUGUAUCCAAGGAUCUAGGCUCACAAUAAAAAACUCCAAAUGGAGCAAUCUCCAGAAAGAGAUCCUUCCCCAGGGGCAGUCAGCCCUUAAGUGGGGUCUAGGAGAGGUGGAGCCAGGCUCCACCCCUACUGGUCACACAGCUGAAUUGCCUUCACCUGUGCUCCCGCAGCUGACUCAGUCCUUUCCUAAGGUGAUCAAUCAGAGGUUCAGGAUGUGAUUCAGUUGUUCCCAUACAGUUGCAUCAAAGGAAGCAUGAUCAGCAGGUUGAGGGAGGUGAUCCUGCUCCUCUACUCUGUGUUGGUGAGGCCUCUGUAUUAUGUCCAGAUGUGGGAUCCUCAGGACAGACAUAGACCUGUUGGAGCGCAUCCAGAGGAGGGCCAAAAAAAUGAUCCAAGCAAUGAAACACCUUCCCUGUGAGAAUGGGCUGAGAGAGCUGGGGCUGUUCAGUCUGGAGAAGAGAAGGCUCUGAGGAGACUUGAUAAUGGCCUUUCAAUGUCUAAAAAGGGGCUAUAAGAAAGAAAAGGGCAGACUCUUUAGCAGGGUUUGUCGCGACAGGACAAAGGAAAAUGGUUUUAAAAUAAAGGAGAGAAAAUUUAGAUUGGAUAUAAGGAAAAAAUUUUUACAAUAAGAAUGUUGAGGCAUUGGAACAGAUCACUCAGAGAGGUGGUAGAAGUCCUGUUCCUGGAGACAUUCAAAAUCAGGCUGGACCAGGCUCUGAGAAACCUGAUCUAGCUGUGGGUGUCCCUGUUCAUUGCAGGGAAGCUGGACUAGAUAUAAAAUGAUAUAAUCAAAAGAUUAUAUGAUUCUAUAAGUCAAUGAAGAUAAGGAGGGAUUUGUAAAGUAAGUUUCAAAAAAAUCACAGUGUUUUGUAGAAUCAUGGUAGUUAAUAGUGUGAGGCAUUUAGAGAACUAUGGUUGCGAGCAUCUCGGAAAUACAAAAUAGCAUUCCAUAGGAAAUGCAGGGAAAAAAAAUGAAAAUUUGAAGCUAGCUCCACCCUGCAACAAUUUAAAACAUAGUUGAAUAUUUAAAAAAAAAGUUUAGGCCUAGACUGUUAUUUCUGUUAUAAAAGUCAAAUCUUUGGAGAUGGAGAUGAUUAAUAAAUACACAAAAAUACAUUGUCUUUAAUAGACAAAAGCAAUACAUUGUUUUGAAAGAAUGUAAAAAAAACAAACAGCAUAAUCAAAAUGCUUUUAAAUUAGGGCUUUUCUUUCACCUUUCUUACUUUUUCUUUCCUUUCUCCCCCCCCCCCCCCCCCCUUUCUUCCCUUCUUUCUUUGUCUUUUUUUCAGAAGGAAAUUUCUUUAUCCUGAGAGUCUGACAUAGAAAGUUUUGUGUUUUUUUUUUUUUACAAAGUUUUUUUUUUUUAAUUGGAAGAUUUUCAACUGAUUCUACCCAGAAGGAAGUUAAUAAAUUUUCAGGGAAGUGCUUAUGUAUUGUGCCAUAAAUAAAGCUUGGGGGUAGAAUCUGAACUGUAAGUAUUGAACAAAUAACUGCUUAUUAAUUUUAAAGCAACCAUCUGAUGCAUUGAAUGGGGCACAAUUCUUUGGACAAAACAACGAACCUAUCCAUAAUUCUGAGAAGUGAACAACAUAAACACUGCAGAAUUAAUGACAGAAGUUUCUAACUUAUAAGAGCUUUUUUUUUCCAUAACCUUAAAAUUAUUUUAAUAUUUUAAUUUAGGUCUUCUGCAUACACAUACAUGUAGGUCCUCUGGAAAGUGAUGCCUUCUAUUUAUUUCCAGAGUCCCAGGUGAACCUCAUGAAGUUCAACAAAUCCAAGUGCAAGGUCUUGCACAUGGGUCAUAGCAACCCCUGAUAUAAGUACAAGUUGGGGGAUGAAAGGAUAGAGUACAGCUCUGUUGAAAAUGACUUGGGAUAACAGUGGAGUCAUGGAAUUGCUCAGGUUGGAAAAGACCUUAAAGAUCAUCAAGUCCAACCACAACCUAACCAUACUACCUUAACUCUAACAACCCACUGCUAAAUCAUGUCCCUGAGCACCACAUCCAAAUGGGUUUUAAACGCAUCCAGGGAUGGUGACUUAACCACCCGGGGAGCCUAUUCCAGUGCUUAACAACCCUUUCUGUAAAGAAGUUUCUCCUGAUACGCAACCCAAACUUACCCUGGCACAACCCAGUCCUCAGUACAGGAGAGACAGGGACCUGUUGGAGCACAUCCAGAGGAGUUACCCACAGCACUCACUGCUUCUUCCUGCAUGACACAGGGUCCAUCAGCUCCAUUGUUUUUCUUGAAGCCAUGCACCCAGCUCCUUCUCAGCUUGGAGAACGCUAAAUCUGGAGUGACCAGUUUACAGCCUUCAUCUUCUACAGACUUUUGAUUUAAGGCUUCACAUGGCACAGAGCUCACCUGCAUCUCCACUGCAACAGGAAGUUAAGAUCCCUGGAGCUGUAGGGCUCUGAUAGUACCUAUCCAUCUCUUGCUCAUCUACUUGAGUGCUCUGCAGACUGCUUACUUCCUCCUCUAACUUCUUUACCUGGCAACGUAACUCACCAACAACAGCAACACACCUUCUGUAGAAGAGAUGGCUCUCAGCCUCUACAAAGUGGCCCCAGGUGCUCCCUGCAACCUGGGAGCUGCAGAGCUUCCUCACUGUUUAGGUGGGAACUUCUGCCAUAUCUGACACAGCAACUCCAACAGCUGCUGGAGAAUGAGCUCCACGGUGUGUCAAAAAACCUGAGGGACUGUAUGCCAGUAAGACUGAAUGAGACCUUCUUGUGCCCUUCUGCACAAACUGCUAUCCAAAACGCUGAGUCUGUUCAUUGCACUCAGGUGGUCACAGAAUGGUCCCCAGUUACUGGGUUAUGAGCACCUCAAGUCUCUCACCAGACCAGCAGAACAGCCUCCUUCAGAGAUGUGGCCUCCCUGUGAGUCCUGCCAUGUGGAGACAUGGGACACAAAUCCACAGGAAACCAGGCUUUGUUAGCUCUGUACUUCUGAAACAGCAUGUUGCCUGUCUACUUAAGGCCACUGCACAGCCAAAGAUGUAUGGGAAAGGAAACUGGAAUUUUAUUCCCUGAUAUACCAUAUUUAUCUGCCUUCCUUCUAUUCUGCUAUUCAUAAUGGCUUCUUACCAGUUGUCUGAACUUGAAAGUACUCAUCUCUAGUUCCCAAGAUUACCCUUAGACGUCUUUGAAAUAAAUAUUAUCCCACAUAAGCAAAGACAUUUCCUGUCUCAGUUGGAAACAGAUGUCCACCAUUCAUUUCUAGAAUGAAGGAGGAUAUAAGUGCAUGUAUUGAGAAGCGUUAUUUAAAUUUUAAUAUUGUUUACAAAUCUGAGUUUACAAUCAACUCAGCAAAAGCAGAUCCAUUAAAAAUAAAUAAACAAAAACCCAACAUGACUGUACGUGGCAUGGCGAGAAGAAGAGUAUGGAUUUGGAUAUUUACCACAUUAAUGUGUAAUCACAAAGCACAUUGUGAUGAAGGAUACCUUUCUGUAUGUUGCUUCUAAGAGGCAUCGUGGAGGAGAAAGUUAAUAAAAAAUUCAAUUAAAGUGUUGUGCAGCAGUAAUAGUCUCAAAACAAUGUAUUUUGAGGAGUCCCAUAUGAAUAUUUUACAUAUAAUUCACCUAUUGGUGGUCAUAUCUUUUCAUAAAGUGGUUUCGUAAAGUCUUGUAUGCAUUUUACUUGUGUUUUAUAUAUGGUUAGUAUGCUUAGCUAGUUCUAACACCUCAUUAUUCUGAUAAUUACAAUAGAUUUAGGAGUGAUAAAAUUCUUUCCUUCCAUUACAACUGUUUUUUUUUUAAGCAGAAAAAUAGCUCCUUUAAGUUUUUUCUAGUUGACUUAUAUGUAAAAGAGGAGAACUAUUCCUAAAUCCUUAUUGAAUUGUUUGCUCUCUAAUACUUUGACACUGAGCUCCAUCAUUCGUGUGGCCUGUUCUUGGAUGUAAAAAUACUGCUGUUCCUGUGAAGUAGAGACAGCUCAAGCCCGUUUUCCUGCGCUAAGCAAAUCCUCUGUCUGCCACAUUUUGUCAUGAGUAAAAUAACGUUGACGUUAGUUGUUAACACACUGGCUGAUCUCAAGAUGGCAUGUAGAAAGUGGGAAAUUUCUUUUUACAAUAACGAUGACAGCCAUAUAUUGAUUUAAUCAGAGUACCUUUGGUCUCUGUAAUAGUCAUGCCAUGUGAGAAACUGGCUCCAUUAAUGAUCCAAGAACUCUUAUAAAAUCUCUAUCAAAUUCUACUUUUUUCUACCACGAUGCCAUAUGAUUUUUGAACAGGCUUGGUUUCUCCAGUGUAAAUAAGAGAAGGUUGAAUUAGCAAAACAUUUUACAUAUUACAUGAUGUGUGAAGAAUUAACAGAGGCAGCUCAUCAUAGCCAACUACCUGAAAGAGUGCAUAUUUUAUACUAACUUCUAACUUUCAGCAAAUAGCACAGAAUCUGCAUGGAUUGAAGCUCCCAGGUGAAACCAGGGCAUGUCUGCCAUGCGAGCAGUUUCACUUAUCCCUGUACCUCUCAUACCUAACUGCAGAGUUUUAGGUCAGAUGGUGUCUCAGGACAGGGGCACAAUAAUACUGAAAGAUGUUAAUUAUGUUGCUAUGGUCUGGAUAAAUCAUGCUUUGAAGAGUGAUGCGGAGACUGAUUUUUUAGCUCUAACAUUAAUGAGAGUAGCAAAUGGCAGCUAGUAAGGAAAUAUUGGCUGUAGGUUUUGAUCUGCACACAGCUCCUGUUUCAAAGUAUCCAUGUCCAAGAGCUACUUUAUACCUGUAACUAAAAGGCACAAAAUUACUGCAGGCACAAUAAAAGUAACUGUAGGGCAAAUAGGUAUACAGGUAUUGGACCAUACAGAUUACCACAUUACAAAGGAGAAAUGAAAUAAAGAUCUUACCCAUGUCCUGGGCACACAGAAGGGCUCCAAGAAGAAGGAUCUCUAAAGAGAGAUCCUUCCUCCUUGGGAGUCAGCCCUUAAAUGGGGUCUAGGAGAGGUGGAGCCAGGCUCCACCCCUUCUGGUCACACAGGUGAAAUUGUGUUCACCUGUGCCCCUGUGGCUGACUCAGCGCUCGCCUCAGGUGGUCAAUCAGAGGUUCAGGCCGUGAUUCAACAGUUCCCAUACAGUAACAAAACAAAGCCACACCGCUGUAGGGUGUAUUGCCCAAGGAGGUUGUGGAUGCCCCAUCCCUGGAGGCAUUCAAGGCCAGGCUGGAUGUGGCUCUGGGCAGCCUGGUCUGGUAGUUGGUGACCCUGCACGUAGCAGAGGGGUUGUAAUUAGAUGAUCUUUGAGGUCCUUUUCAAUUCAGGCCAUUCUGUGAUUCUAUGAUUAUAUGAAAACAGCAAUGUGACAAAGCUUAUGAUACUAACCCAUUUAAAACUAGAUAAGGAAAGGAUUUCACAAUACUGUGUGCAGGGCAGUUGAGCACAGCAUAGUCCUGUCUCUGAUGUGCAGCAGAAAGCUCCAGAUAGCACAUUUCACACAGUGCCCUGGGCAGAGCAGCCUCGUGAAUGGUGGGGAAGGUGCUCCCCGCCAGCGGGCUGGGAGGGUGAGUGGCAUGCUGUAAUCUCAUACUGUACUCUUCUGGAGAGACAUCAUGACAUGCUAGGAAUGUUUCCUUGUUAAAGAAAUAAUAAAA
ensembl:lncRNA